rnacentral:rRNA from 1 species
AGUCGACGGUGAAGGGGAGCUUGCUUCCUGGAUCAGUGGCAAACGGGUGAGUAACACGUGAGUAACCUGCCCUUGACUCUGGGAUAACUGCUAGAAAUGGUAGCUAAUACCGGAUACGACCCUCGGCCGCAUGGUCAGGGGGUGGAAAGAAUUUUGGUCAAGGAUGGACUCGCGGCCUAUCAGGUAGUUGGUGAGGUAAUGGCUCACCAAGCCUACGACGGGUAGCCGGCCUGAGAGGGUGACCGGCCACACUGGGACUGAGACACGGCCCAGACUCCUACGGGAGGCAGCAGUGGGGAAUAUUGCACAAUGGGCGAAAGCCUGAUGCAGCAACGCCGCGUGAGGGACGACGGCCUUCGGGUUGUAAACCUCUUUUAGUAGGGAAGAAGCGAAAGUGACGGUACCUGCAGAAAAAGCACCGGCUAACUACGUGCCAGCAGCCGCGGUAAUACGUAGGGUGCAAGCGUUGUCCGGAAUUAUUGGGCGUAAAGAGCUCGUAGGCGGUUUGUCGCGUCUGCUGUGAAAUCCGGAGGCUCAACCUCCGGCCUGCAGUGGGUACGGGCAGACUAGAGUGCGGUAGGGGAGAUUGGAAUUCCUGGUGUAGCGGUGGAAUGCGCAGAUAUCAGGAGGAACACCAAUGGCGAAGGCAGAUCUCUGGGCCGUAACUGACGCUGAGGAGCGAAAGCAUGGGGAGCGAACA